rnacentral:rRNA from 1 species
GAAUCUUAGACAAUGGGGGAAACCCUGAUCUAGCCAUGCCGCGUGAGUGACGAAGGCCCUAGGGUCGUAAAGCUCUUUCGCCAGGGAAGAUAAUGACGGUACCUGGUAAAGAAGUCCCGGCUAACUCCGUUCCAGCAGCCGCGGUAAUACGGAGGGGACUAGCGUUGUUCGGAAUUACUGGGCGUAAUGCGCGCGUAGGCGGAUCGUUAAGUCAGGGGUGAAAUCCUGGGGCUCAACCCCAGAACUGCCUCUGAUACUGGCGGUCUUGAGUUCGAGAGAGGUGAGUGGAAUUCCGAGUGUAGAGGUGAAAUUCGUAGAUAUUCGGAGGAACACCAGUGGCGAAGGCGGCUCACUGGCUCGAUACUGACGCUGAGGUGCGAAAGUGUGGGGAGCAAACAGG